rnacentral:rRNA from 1 species
GACGAACGCUGGCGGCGUGCCUAAUACAUGCAAGUCGAGCGGACUAAUGGGAGCUUGCUCCCGUUAGUUAGCGGCGGACGGGUGAGUAACACGUGGGCAACCUACCUGUAAGACUGGGAUAACUUCGGGAAACCGGAGCUAAUACCGGAUGACAUAAAGGAACUCCUGUUCCUUUAUUGAAAGAUGGCUUCGGCUAUCACUUACAGAUGGGCCCGCGGCGCAUUAGCUAGUUGGUGAGGUAACGGCUCACCAAGGCGACGAUGCGUAGCCGACCUGAGAGGGUGAUCGGCCACACUGGGACUGAGACACGGCCCAGACUCCUACGGGAGGCAGCAGUAGGGAAUCUUCCGCAAUGGACGAAAGUCGGACGGAGCAACGCCGCGUGAGCGAUGAAGGCCUUCGGGUCGUAAAGCUCUGUUGUUAGGGAAGAAUAAGUGCUAGUUGAAUAAGCUGGCACCUUGACGGUACCUAACCAGAAAGCCACGGCUAACUACGUGCCAGCCGCCGCCGUAA